GGGGAUUUAGCUCAGUGGUAGAGCGCUUGCCUAGGAAGCGCAAGGCCCUGGGUUCGAUCCCCAUCUCCG
rfam:Rattus norvegicus chromosome 11, whole genome shotgun sequence.